rnacentral:rRNA from 1 species
AACGUAGGAGGCGAGCGUUAUCCGGAUUUACUGGGCGUAAAGGGCAAGUAGGCGGUGGCUCAAGUUGGGCGUGACAGAUCCCGGCUCAACUGGGAAAGGUCGUCCAAAACUGGGUCACUCGAGGGCAGGAGAGGAGAGCGGAAUUCCUAGUGUAGCGGUGGAAUGCUCAGAUACUAGGAGGAACACCCGUGGCGAAGGCGGCUCUCUGGCCUGUUCCUGACGCUGAGAGGCGAAAGCUAGGGGAGCAAACGGG